CGAGACUUAGGGCAGGGCGGCGGCGCGGCUAGGGCUUCCAAAGGGGCGCAGGGGCGGCUGCGGCGUCCAAUUUAUAGGCUAGGGUGGCUCGGCGAACCUUGGUUCGCGUGCACGCGGAUUCCAAGGCGGUGGUUGCGGCUGUUUCCGAAACAGCCGGGGGUUAGGGAUGACAGGUGGGUCCCACUUGCGGGGCCCACCAGUCAGCGGGCGAGUGCGGGGUAUAGGAGGCACGCGCGUGGGGGCUGGGCCGCGGCCUGGCUGGCCAGCGGCGGGGUGUUGGCCCACGCGGGUGGUGCGGACGCGAGGGGGGUGCUGGGCCGUGGAGAGAGGAAGCCGGCCCAGAAAGGAGAGAAAGCCUUUUCUUCUUUUCUUUUUUUUUCUUCUUGCAAAACAGAAAUUCUAAACUAUUUUCAAUGUAUAUUUCAAAAUAAAUUUGAGUCAAUACUUAGGAAUUAUUUUGGAAUUUGUUUUUAGACUAUUAUGAAAUCUAAAUAUAUUUUAGUUUAAAGACACUUCUAAAUUGUUUUCCAACUUGAAUUUGAAUUAGUUUUCAAAUAGGACUUUUGGUGUUUUAUUUUUUUCUAAAAAACCGAAAAGGGCCUAUUUAUAGUUGCUCAAAUUUUAGAAAUUCAUUUUUCACACACAAGCCAAACAGAGCUAGGGCACAAAGCAU
rnacentral:lncRNA from 1 species